CAUAACCAGGGCUAGACUGAGGGUUUAACAUAACCAGGGCUAGACUGAGGGUUUAACAUAACCAGGGCUAGACUGAGGGUUUAACAUUACCAGGGCUGGACUGAGGGUUUAACAUUACCAGGGCUGGACUGAGGGUUUAACAUUACCAGGGCUAGACUGAGGGUUUAACAUUACCAGGGCUAGACUGAGGGUUUAACAUAACCAGGGCUAGACUGAGGGUUUAACAUUACCAGGGCUAGACUGAGGGUUUAACAUAACCAGGGCUAGACUGAGGGUUUAACAUAACCAGGGCUAGACUGGGGGUUUAACAUUACCAGGGCUGGACUGAGGGUUUAACAUUACCAGGGCUAGACUGAGGGUUUAACAUUACCAGGGCUGGACUGAGGGUUUAACAUUACCAGGGCUGGACUGAGGGUUUAACAUUACCAGGGCUAGACUGAGGGUUUAACAUUACCAGGGCUAGACUGAGGGUUUAACAUUACCAGGGCUGGACUGAGGGUUUAACAUUACCAGGGCUGGACUGAGGGUUUAACAUUACCAGGGCUAGACUGAGGGUUUAACAUUACCAGGGCUAGACUGAGGGUUUAACAUUACCAGGGCUGGACUGAGGGUUUAACAUUACCAGGGCUGGACUGAGGGUUUAACAUUACCAGGGCUAGACUGAGGGUUUAACAUUACCAGGGCUAGACUGAGGGUUUAACAUAACCAGGGCUAGACUGAGGGUUUAACAUUACCAGGGCUAGACUGAGGGUUUAACAUUACCAGGGCUAGACUGAGGGUUUAACAUAACCAGGGCUAGACUGAGGGUUUAACAUUACCAGGGCUAGACUGAGGGUUUAACAUUACCAGGGCUAGACUGAGGGUUUAACAUUACCAGGGCUAGACUGAGGGUUUAACAUUACCAGGGCUAGACUGAGGGUUUAACAUUACCAGGGCUAGACUGAGGGUUUAACAUUACCAG